rnacentral:sRNA from 1 species
GCGAUGGAAGCGGCAUCCUUUUGCGGAGUUUACGAAGCAAAAGAUAGAGCGGACAGCGCGACGGCGG